CUGAAAACAAAGUCAUAAAAACAAGGUUGACAAAAGGUCAGAUUUAAAAACAAUGCUUGUUUAAUAAGACAGUAAGGCUGCGCCUCCAUGCCUUCGUGUACAAGAACGUACCUCGAGCUGGCAGCUGAAUUUUGUGAUAUUUCCACUUGGCUGACACCAUCCAGAAUCAUCUACAGACUAUAUAAACUACUCCAAACAGCUACAAGCCUUGGACUUGCUGAAAGCUGAUAUGAACCAGUCCAGUCGACGUGAUUGUUCUCUGUCUCUUCAGCUGGUGGGAUUAACACACACCCCUGGGUGUGCCUAUGAUGCUGUUUUCUGAGAGAUUUAGAUUCAAUACGACCAUCCGGCUUACUUCCCUGCUGCCGUGAACACCCCUGGCAUGAUGGGCUGCAUCACCAAACAGCCAAAGGAAACCUUCGUUCCUUCUACUCAGGAAGAAUUCUUAGAAGUAUGCUUACACCUCUUCGUCCUUCCGUCAGGCGUUG